rnacentral:rRNA from 1 species
CAGCAGCCGCGGGAAUACGAAGGGUGCAAGCGUUAAUCGGAAUUACUGGGCGUAAAGCGUGCGUAGGCGGUGAGUUAAGUCUGCUGUGAAAUCCCCGGGCUCAACCUGGGAAUGGCAGUGGAUACUGGCUCGCUAGAGUGUGUCAGAGGAUGGUGGAAUUCCCGGUGUAGCGGUGAAAUGCGUAGAGAUCGGGAGGAACAUCAGUGGCGAAGGCGGCCAUCUGGGACAACACUGACGCUGAGGCACGAAAGCGUGGGGAGCAAACAGGAUUAGAUACCCGUGUAGUCCCUGUCUCUUAUAA